rnacentral:siRNA from 1 species
UUGGAGGGUCCUGCUUUCGAGU